rnacentral:lncRNA from 1 species
CCAACCAGAGUCUUCUGGAAAGAACAGGUGUCUGACUUGGGAAACUAGCACUGGAAAGAACGUCAACUUGGUAUCUUGUCACUGUAUAUCUGACUGCAGGCCAAGUAGACUCCAAGCCGCUGCUGCUGACCACGACACUGAGGACGAUGCAAUGAGGAACCUAAUGUGCAGGCAAAGUAUACAGUAGGCACCCAAUAAACGCUUGUUCCUUCCCUCUUUCCCUGAUUUC